UUGAGAGGACCUUUCCCUAGUACGAGAGGAUCGGGAAGGACGCACCUCUGGUGUACCAGUUAUCGUGCCCACGGUAAACGCUGGGUAGCCAAGUGCGGUACAGAAAAAAGAUCAAAGAUUAGUUUAUUAUUUAUCGUUGUAUGUAGACGACAUACUUAUAGCAGCAAGUGAUGUUAAGUAUGCAAAGGAAAUAAAAUAAUGAUCAUCUACUUUUAAGAUGAA
rnacentral:ncRNA from 1 species